GACGAACGCUGGCGGCGUGCCUAAUACAUGCAAGUAGAACGCAGUUGCGAACGGGUGAGUAACGCGUAGGUAACCUGCCUCAUAGCGGGGGAUAACUAUUGGAAACGAUAGCUAAUACCGCAUACUGUGAGAUGGACCUGCGUUGUAUUAGCUAGUUGGUGAGGUAAAGGCUCACCAAGGCGACGAUACAUAGCCGACCUGAGUGGUUGGUCGGCCAGACUGGGACGGGGACACGGUCCAGACUCCAAGGCGAGGAAGCAGUGGUGAAUAUUGCACAAUGGGCGCAAGCCUGAUGCAGCCAUGCCGCGUGUAUGAAGAGGGCCUGCGGGUUGUAAAGUACUUUGAGCGGGUAGCGUUACCCGCAGAAGAAGCACCGGCUAACUCCGUGCCAGCCGCCGCGGUAAUAC
rnacentral:rRNA from 1 species